CAGUCGCCACGGUAAUACGGAGGGUGCAAGCGUUAAUCGGAAUUACUGGGCGUAAAGCGUGCGUAGGCGGUUCGUUAAGUCUGUUGUGAAAGCCCCGGGCUCAACCUGGGAAUGGCAAUGGAUACUGGCGAGCUAGAGCGUGUCAGAGGAUGGUGGAAUUCCCGGUGUAGCGGUGAAAUGCGUAGAGAUCGGGAGGAACAUCAGUGGCGAAGGCGGCCAUCUGGGACAACACUGACGCUGAGGCACGAAAGCGUGGGGAGCAAACAGGAUUAGAUACCCCAGUAGUCCCUGUCUCUUAUAC
rnacentral:rRNA from 1 species